CGCCGCGCUCAGCCUCUUACCGCGGGCCGCUAGCGGGCCGGGGACGGUUCCCGGUUCUUGGCAGGGGCCAGACCCACUUCCGAAGCCGCUCCUUUGCGCCCUAAAACAAGUAGCCCCAAUGUGAGAGAAACAAAAGGCUUAAAAGCUACGCAGCUACCAAGAUGACAAUGCCAGGUGCCUACCGAAGGCCUUUAGAUGGAGUAACUCUGUAGAGUAACUCUAAUUGCUGAUCACAGCUACGAUCUUCUUCAGCUGGAAGUAGCCAGAGCUGUCUUCGUCCUUUGCCCCCUCACAGCAGUUAGGGGUACUUCUUCAGAGUGGUGAAGAUAGGCCUAUUUGGAGAAGUUCACCAGUGUGCCCCAGUCUUGAUUGGAAGAUCAGAGGAUACCAACCAGGGUUCCAGCAGCUAGAGGAGGAACAUCACUCCCUGGAAGAUGCACUUUAGGGAGGAGAAGAAAGGUGCACUGGAACUAACACAGGAAGACCCUACCUCUGCAGAGUCCCUCUAGGACCAAGGCCUAACAUUGCUCCGGGUG
rnacentral:lncRNA from 1 species